AACGUAGGAGACAAACGUUAUCCGGAGUUACUGGGCGUAAAGGGCGUGUAGGCGGUUUGUUAAGUCUGGCGUGAAAGCUCUCGGCUAAACCGGGAGAGGUCGUUGGAUACUGGCAAACUAGAGGACGGUAGAGGCGUGUGGAAUUCCGGGUGUAGUGGUGAAAUGCGUAGAGAUCCGGAGGAACACCAGUGGCGAAGGCGACACGCUGGGCCGUACCUGACGCUAAAGCGCGACAGCGUGGGGAGCGAACCGG
rnacentral:rRNA from 1 species